AUGGGCAACCAGGUGGAGAAACUGACCCACCUAAGUUAUAAGGAAGUUCCCACGGCCGACCCGACUGGCGUGGACCGUGACGACGGCCCUCGCAUCGGGGUCUCCUACAUUUUCUCCAACGACGAUGAGGACGUGGAGCCGCAGCCGCCGCCCCAGGGGCCGGAUGGCGGCGGCGGCGGCGACGGCUUGCCCGACGGCGGCGACGGACAGCCACUGCCGCCGCCGCAGCCGUACGACCCGCGGCUGCACGAAGUGGAGUGUUCCGUGUUCUACCGCGACGAGUGCAUCUACCAGAAGAGCUUCUCGCCGGGCUCCGCGGCGCUGAGCACCUACACGCCCGAGAACCUGCUCAACAAGUGCAGGCCUGGCGACCUGGUGGAGUUCGUGUCGCAGGCGCAGUACCCGCACUGGGCUGUAUACGUGGGCAACUUCCAGGUGGUGCACUUGCACCGGCUGGAAGUGAGCAACAGCUUCCUGACCGACGCGAGCCAGGGCCGGCGCGGCCGCGUGGUGAACGACCUGUACCGCUACAAGCCACUAAGCCCGGGCGCCGUGGUGCGCAACGCGCUGGCACACGUGGGCGCCAAGGAGCGCGAGCUGAGCUGGCGCAACUCCGAGAGCUUCGCCGCCUGGUGCCGCUACGGCAAGCGCGAGUUCAAGAUUGGCGGCGAGCUGCGCAUCGGCAAGCAGCCCUACCGGCUGCAGAUCCAGCUCUCGGCGCAGCGCAGCCACACGCUCGAGUUCCAGAGCCUGGAGGACCUGAUCAUGGAGAAACGGCGCAACGACCAGAUCGGGCGCGCGGCGGUGCUGCAAGAGCUCGCCAUGCACCUACAUCCGGCCGAGCCGGACGAGGGCGACAGCGAUGCGGCGCGGACUACGCCGCCUCCCGGGCGCCCCCCUGCGCCCGGACGGGAGGAAGAGGCCCGAGAGGCGGCGGUGCACUGAGGCGCGAGCCGAGUGCUGAGCCUUGAGAGGGAGCCGUUCGCCGCGGCCGCCACCCCCUCCCUCCUCUCACUCCCUCCUCCAGCACCUUCGGGGCCCCAUCUGGGCUCCUGGGCCCUUUGGGAAAAGGAGAGAUGGCGAAUUGCGCAGCCAGCUGUGGCUUGAGCUUUUAUCUUGGACGGAGGAGGAAGAGGGAGCAGAAAUUCCAACCAGAAGACAAGAACUUCAAAGCUGGACUCCGGCCCUCUUUUGGAGCAAGCAGCAGCAUCUCAGGCAAAGUGAAGGGUGUGGCUUCAGUCUUGUUCCUGGGAGAAGACAUGCCCUUCAGGUUAGUCACAGUCAAGGCGAGUUUCAUGGAGAGACUCCUGAUGUCACAUGUGGGUAUAAGGAAACCCUGAGGGCCAGUACCAGGGCUGAUAAGAACAAGGUUCCUUUGCAUCCCCAGGUCCAAGGGAAAGAGGGGCAGAGUGGCAUAUCGAACAGAAACAGAGAGGCUCUGACCAGUAUGGAGAAAGCUGCCUGACAUGAGGCAGACCCAGAGAGGAAGGAGGUGGCCGUCUCCAGGUGUGACUCAGAAUAAACACCCCACCUCACAUUCCUCCCUCUUCUGCUGGUGUUGAUAAUUAGCCAAAGCCUACAAGAAGCCGAAUGGCAAGAGAACCCAUUGGUGGGUUCCUCCAGGCGGCCUCCUGGGGCACAGAGAAGAAUGGAGAGUGGAUCUGGGCCAGUCACUUGCACAUGCCCAGCACAAAGGCCACGGGGACCACAUGUCAUCGAGUGUUCAUAUGGCAAUCUAAGACUUUUUCAAUUAAAUGGCAAAGUACCGUACAACGAUAAUUACUUUGCUCUGAUAAUUCAGUCACUACUUUGAGUCACCCUGUAAGGGAUUUAUUAUUAUUAACUCCCCAGAAACCAAGGCAGACAGCGAUUAAUUACUGCUCCAAUAUAGCUAGAAAGACUUCUGAGAAAAAGUUUGUAAGACGCCCCUGUUCAGUCCUUGCUUAUAACCACUACAUUCUACAAACUUAUUCUACCCUCUCCUUGGGCACUUCCUCAGAGCCAGAGGCUUCUUCAGCACCCUAAAGAGCCUUUAUGACCUGGUUCCUUGACUUCCCCUCCUCUCCAAAAGUUGUCUGAAUCACUGGUCACAGGAUUCAGAAAUCGGGUCCAGGCGCUAACAGGCAAGACCGGACCCGGUGAAGGCCCGCGUUUGAGCAGCUCGUGGUGGACAGACAGGGCCACAGAACAGUGACCAGGGAACCAGCAGAAAGGAACAUAGAGACCAGAUGCAGACUUUCACCUGGAGCCUGGAGGUCGGGCCCAGAGGAAAAGCGAUAAGGAACAUAAAGGUUAUACAUGAGGUUGGCACCAUUCCUCAAGAAAUGGGUGAAAGAGGAGAGUGACACAUUGCUUUAGUGCAACCACGGCAGCCACGAUUUGUAUAGUGCUUUAGUGGUUAAGACAGAUUCCCAAAUAUUUCAGCAGCCGAUAGUUUCCUUUACUAGACUGGGGGCUUCCUGAGGAUGGUGGCUUGUCAUUUUGGUGUCCCUACAACCCAGCAAGGCGUCUGACACUUAGUAGCUACCAUCCGCAAAUCCAUUUGUUAAAUCAGUCUUUGGAAACAGAGCAAAUAAUGGAACCCUGAGGGUUUUGGUAGCCAAUGACAUCAGGAACAUCAUUCUGGUGCUAUUGAUCUUUGAGUGAAGUGAGAGUCCCUGGGGAGGCCAUCGAGUCUUUGGGAGCCUGAGUGUGCUCACACAUGAAAGGACAACUAAACGUCCCUACAUUUGCAGGAUUUCUGGGAAGUUGUACACACACACACACACACACACACACACGCACGCGCGCACACUCAAUACUGUUUUUCCAUCUGGCAAGGUAACCAUGAUGAUAUGAUGACAGUGACCGUGAUAACGAGGACGCAACCUCCCUUGGGGAAACGUUUCGCUGCCUCCAUUAUUUGAACGAAUUUGCUUCCAGACAGUCCCGUCUAAACAACAAACAGGUCUUAAGCUUCCCACUUGAGAAAAAAGCCGACGAAGAAAGCUGUGCAGGUAGCAAGGUGACCUCUGUUAUUAACUCAACACAACGGAGCAGGCUUCUCACCCCACGUGUAAGGGUUAUGAAGGAAGGCUUAAAAGCCACCCCUCCUCGUCCUCUCUGAGGUAAAAGCUCUUGCUGCAGGGGUUUGCUGAGCCUUCCUAAGCCCGGGGUGACACCAGGUCACGAGAUGGUGCUUAAGUAGUUCGUCUCUGGGUUAGUUGUGAUUUUUUUUAAUCUUUUUGUUUUGUUUUGUUUUUCCAGUCAGCUUUCUCAGCCUGUAAAAGUUCGAGUCUUUUUGCCUCCAUCAUUCUCACCACGAGAGUCUCAUACCUUGCUCUCGUUCCCAUGCUUCCCACCCCUCAUCCCACCAAAAGCAGUGUGUUUAGUGGUAAUAUCGGUGAAGACAACAUUUAACAGACAAAAUGGCGGACCGACUCCCCCUGGCUCUCUGUAUCAGCUCCCUCGCGGACACCCACCUGAGGUCUGACAAGGAGGGACUCUCUCUACAGGGACUCUCCCUACUCUGUGUUCACUGUGUUUCUAACAUGAGCUCAUCAGUCUCCUCUGCAACCUGGGUGCUGGAGGAGGAGAGAGGAGGCAGGAAUGAGGGGCCACAAAAUACGAGGCAUUUGGCAGCUUUCUUUCAAGGUGUUAUUAGCUAAACAUUAAAGCAAAAUGUUCUCAUUAAAUUCAGCAGCUGAGGAUGGUACUUGGUUCCUGUGCAUUAUGGCGAUCCAUAUAACAUGAAUCACAGUCAGGAAUGCAAGCUGGACUUGAAGCAAACUUCCCUGAAAUGUGUAGCACUGGUAAACAUUGCUGUUUGCUGCAUGAAAGUGCCUGGGGAAGGCUCAGCCGAGGACUUCCCGUAGGGCACAUUUCAGCAGCAUUGAUCCAAGUGACCUUGUCCUCUCUUCUCCUGCACUACUUGGAAGGGGAACCAUGUUGGAUUCAUCGAUCCUCUGGUUCUCUCCCACUUGAAUGAGCGCAGGAAUCUCAGCCUGGACUUCACUGAUGUGCAAAGAUCUAUACAUAGUGUUCAUGAACCUUCUGGUACUUAGACCAAUUUUGUAUCUCUGUCUUCCAUGGGCUUCUCUUUCUGAGAAAAAUUUCCAAGUCUUUCAGGAGAAUCCCAUGGUUGUGCACAUCCUCCAAAACAUUAAGAACCACUAACGUGGAGGGUUAGUUGAAACAUUCUGUAAACUGUACAAAGUAUAUUUUAGGCAAAAAAGAGAGGGGAAGAAACUCCCUUUUUCCUUGGCUUACAGGAGUCUUACUCUCGUCGAAAGACCCAUGCACAGGGACAGUGGUGGGCAUGGCGAAGGAGUAGUGGGAGUUGAAGCUCAGUUGUAGCCCCCACUCGGAUACCAGCUGGCUUUCUGAAUCUGUGUGGUCUCCAAAAUACUAGCCAUGAAGUGGUUAAAGAUGGGCACUCACCCUCCGUGCCUGCCACACGGGUACAGCCAGGAAGGGAUAUGUUGAUUACACAGAAGCUUUGAUGGCUUUUGUGUAUUGCCACAGAUGUGCUCUUACAAGAACAGCCACUCGACAUUCGCUGAGUGUGCAAAACCACGGAGUGAGUCUUCUCAAAGUCUCAAGGUCUGUGUCCUACAUGUGAAUUUUGACGAAUUUCUUAAUGCCCCAGCCUGCGUUCCGUCACCUGUUCAAUCCAGGCAAGCCUGCUCACCUAACUCGCCUUUAAAGAUGUAAUAGUUAAAUGAUAGAGUUAGUGAAUUACUAAAGGGAGGUGAAAAAGAAGCCGAAAAGAACAUAGACACCUAGGUAUUCUAUUCUUAAUGGAAAGAAUUUGAUUGUUCUGAAAGGGCAACCAGGUCCAAAAAGCAGGACAGGCCGCUUCCAGGAGGAAACUGGGAUCCCCUAAAAACAGAUCCCUGGAGCAAAGCUCACUGUGGGCAACCAGUCUUCUACAUUAACUGUUGGGAUGUGACUACCUCGUGUGUUGUUCACUCGCACUGUAACAUAUACACUGGAAUCUUAAUACUGUUGCUUUUCACAAGUAUGCACUGUUCCAGGCACGACUUCAUGUCAUUUCACUUAUUUUUGACAAAUACUCUGCACGGUAAAUACAAUAGGUUUGUUGGAAAUAGGUUGGACCUGGUUGAUAGUGUCAGGAAAUAGCUUUCUUUUUCUCCCUAUGGCCUUCACACUCAUUUGCCUCUUCCUUCCCCUGAUGGCAUAUUGGGGACAGUCUAUAGCUUCCUGGUCACUUGUAAGUAUUAAAAUGUCCAGUCCAAUUGAAAUCAAAAUUGAAUCUCAUAUCCAGUUCAGAGCUUCUCCCUUCUGCCCGGCUCAGGUGUAUCCAGAUGCUCAGGUACCAGAAAAGACAUAGAGCCUUUGAUCUGUUCUUCAACAAUCUUCGCUCCACCUUUUACCUGACUCGCCUAAUUGCCGAUGGAUAUUCCAAGGUUAGAGUAGUGAGAAGGAUGCGAGAUCUCGUGGCGGAUGCUGUUCUUGGUGUCCUUUUAGCUGUUGAAGGCCCUACAAAUAGUAGGAUCCAAAUGGUGGCUUUCAUUAGAGACCCUGACUUGGCAAGGCACUCUACUAACCUCUUGUGACUUCUCUCAGUGUCUGUACCUCGUGGUACCCCAGUCCAUUUGAGCAGAUAAGUUAAGCUGGCUGCUUUCCGUGGCAUUCACCUGGCCCUAGUAAAAUGUUUACAUACCUGCUUUGCCAUCGUGGGCAGCUUUCAUGAGCCCCAGCCCCAGCCUUCUCCAGGCAAGCACUAGGCACCAGUCUCUUAGCAACCAAUGCCAACAGAACAUAUUUGAAGAUCUCCCAAGAAUUCCACUAUGCUCCAAGACUGGACAGCUUGGGACCAGUCCCUGCAUCUCCACGUCCUACAAGCAUCCAGCCUGCCCUCUUCCAACAAAUCCUCUCUCCAAGAUCAAUUAUCCUAGAUGUCCUCAUCUUGUUGUGGGUGAAUGGAAGCAAUGCCAUACCCAAUACUACUAGGCUCCUUGGAAGAAUUCCUUUUCUCUAAGGAAGCUUCUAGCCUUCCUAUAAACAAGCUAUUGGGAAUGUUGAUUUGGAUACAGACCAGGCAUUCUUGUGGAGAGGGGUCGAGGUCCUGUCUUUAGGACACACGGCUACUUAGCUUUGUCCCCAUCUUUGAGGUUUCAGCCAAAACUUCGUCUUAGUAAACAUUGGCUAUUAUCCUUUUACCCACAAGGAACUGAACUGCAAAGAAAUUUGUUGCCAAAUGCCAGUAGUCACUCAACUUGUGAGAGCAGAAAUCAGAUCUGAACCCUGAUCUGUCCUUCUCCCUGCUCAGUCUUCCCUGUACUCCAAAUCCUUCUCCUAACCGAAGUGGCCUAGGACCAAGAAGAAGAGAUUACACUUAAUCCUAUUUUACAGAUGAGCCAACAAAGUCUCCAGAAGUUUAAGAGUCCACCUUGUAGACUAGUCAAAGUCCAUCUUGUGGUCGAGUCCAAGUUCCAGCAGGAAACAGGUGGCUCACACAAAGGAAGCAGCUCGAAGACAGUUUACUAGAGAAUCAUUUAGAAAGAUGUGGGCAGCAUUAGGAAGCCACAGGGGAUAGUGCAGUUUUUCGGGACUAGUUAGCAGCAGGGCUAUUACCCCAGGACGAGAAGGAGGAGGGAAGGAGAAAACGGUCUUGAGGGCCACUUUGAGAGGAGCAGAGAGCUCAGGUUGUAGGAGCCAGCAGGUCCUAAGUCAUGGCUCAGGAAGGAAGCCAGCCUGCCUGCCUCUACUCUCUGUCUCCAAGCUCCUCUGGAAGUCCAACCCAGUAAGGAGCCAGCAGGCACUACCUGUGCCUGUUAAAGCUGUCCCUAUAUAUGGGUCUCCCAGAGCCAUGAGCAAGGGGAUUGGGGGUGCAGAGUGGAUCUGACCCACUCAGCCAGUAAUGGCGGAGCUGAGGUUUGAAACCGUGUCUGCCUACCCCAACCCCUAUGUCACAUUUGGUUGCCUCUGCCUUUAUUUCAUGAUGCACCUGUGACAGUUUGACUGCAGUGGAAAUCCUCUCGGGGCGGGGACUUUUUCUUACUGUGUUUAUAAUUGCUGCCAUCCUGAGCACACACAGAUAUUCAGUAAGAGUUUGUUGACAGCAUUAAUGGGUGGAGGGGCAGGUUACAGAUAAGCUUGAAACACAUGAGGACAGUAUGAGCAAACGGAGAGAAAUGAUAAGCAUUGCAGGAACUUAGUGUAUAGGCAUUUAUGUGAGACAGUGUAAACAAAGUUAUGUAUACAUACGAUUUCACAUGACUUAGUUCGUAGACAUUGUCUCUUUUGAAGCUCACCUCAGCUCUUAGAUUAUCAUCCCUCGACGAAUCACACAAGCUUAUUUGUGUAAUUACUAUAGCUGAUAGGGAUAUGUGCUCAGGUCACCUCAUAAAAUCAGCACUCUUUCCAGUACCUCCCAAAGGGGCAUAACAUGGUGAGAUAACAGCAUAAUCACGGUUUGUGCUCAGUCUCUGUCUCUGUCUGUAUGUUUGUCUUUCUUUUUUUUCCUCCUGCCAUUGACUCCUUGAAGAAAUCAAGUUAUCUGUCUUUUACGAUGUCCCACAUUCUGAAUGUGUGUUUGUUUCCUUAGAGUUUUAUGUAACUUGUUAUUCUUUCUCAUGCCCCUUUCCUGGAAAUGAGCCCUUGAGGAUUGAUUUGAUUCAGAUUCAGAAUCAGAUUUUUGUUUUGUUUUUGGCAAGAAUACUUCAUGAGUGGCGCUUCGUGUGUGUCUCAUACUACAGCACAUCAAGCUAGACACCAAGUCCGACUACUCCACCUUUCCUGCGGCUGAGAUGAAUUGGUGGAUUCAGGUGAUUUACACAGUUUUAUCAUUAUCAAUGACUGGUAUUGUAAAGUUAAGUGUCAGCAACGUAGCAGGCACUAAGCUUGGCAUCACAUGUAUGUUAUCUUAUUGAACCCACACAAAAACUGCAUAAAAAGGUCUCCUCGUGCUCCUUUAUUAACGAAGCGAAACAGGCUCAGAGGUUAAGUGGGUUGCCUGAAGUCAUACAACUAGUGAGUGACAGAGGCAGGGUAUGGAGUAAGGUCUGAUGGACUCUGGAGUCUAUGUUCUGAACAAUUCGCUGACAUUAUGUGUAGUUUUAUUUCUUUUCAGUGCAUUCUCACAGACUUGCUCCUAGAGAUUUCGAUUCUUGUCCCUUUAGUGGAUGGUCCGUGUCAGAGUAAUUUAGACUUUUAACGUUAGAGCCAGUGUUGGGCAAAGGGCCAAAGAGGGAGGCCACUUCGGUACCAACCAGUCCACAGGAGGGGGAAAGGAAAGAUAACAGGUUAUAGGGCAAGGUGCUUAGAACAGGUGGCAUAGGCAGCGAAGUCCAGAAAAGCAAUCUAUUCAGAUGCUUUUAAUUGCACUUUAUAAAAUCGCAAUCCAAAAAAAACUUAAGAAAAAAGGAUCUUUGAUUUAAUCAGGUCACCAAACUAUGGAAAGGCCAGAGAUAGGCUGUCCUCAGGAAUCUCCGGAGCCAAGUACUAGAGUUCCACUGAAUGCUCUCUCCAACUCUCAGCUCAGCUUCUUCAUGCAUGCUGGUUUCCUGCCGUCAGGCUGGCUGUCUCCACACGGCAGUAAGCAAAGCUACAAGCAGCUUAUCCUUACAGCUAACUGCAUGAACAGAGAGGAAAGAGAACUUUUUCUUCUUAACUCUAGUG